rnacentral:rRNA from 1 species
ACGGAGGGUGCGAGCGUUGUCCGGAAUCAUUGGGCGUAAAGCGCACGUAGGCGGUCCGUUAAGUCUCUUGGUGAAAGGCUGGGGCUCAGCCCCAAGCAUGCCGGGGAUACUGGGGGACUGGAGACAGGCAGAGGCCAGCGGAAUUCCGGGUGUAGCGGUGGAAUGCGUAGAGAUCCGGAAGAACACCGGAGGCGAAGGCGGCUGGCUGGGCCUGAUCUGACGCUGAGGUGCGAAAGCGUGGGGAGCGAACAGGA